rnacentral:rRNA from 1 species
AUGGCGACUGUGAUGGCCAUGAGCUCCUUCGCCGGCGCGGCCGUCCUACCGCGCGGCUCGGCCGGCCGCCUCGGCGCCAGGUCUCUGCCAGCGCUGGGCCGCCGCUCUCUCGUCGUCAGGGCACAGACCGAGGGCCCGAGCGCACCACCGCCAAACAAACCCAAGGCGAGCACCUCCAUCUGGGACGCGCUGGCGUUCAGCGGCCCCGCGCCGGAGCGCAUCAACGGGCGGCUGGCCAUGGUGGGCUUCGUGACGGCGCUCGCGGUGGAGGCGGGCCGCGGCGACGGGCUCCUCUCCCAGCUCGGCAGCGGCACCGGGCAGGCGUGGUUCGCCUACACCGUGGCAGUGCUGUCCGUGGCAUCGCUGGUGCCGUUGCUCCAGGGCGAGAGCGCCGAGGGCAGGGCCGGCGCCAUCAUGAGCGCCAACGCGGAGCUCUGGAACGGCCGCUUCGCCAUGCUCGGCCUCGUCGCUCUGGCGGCCACGGAGAUCAUCACCGGCACGCCCUUCAUCAACGUGUAA